CCUGUCACUGUAUGCCAGCCUGGGCAACAGAAAGAGACUCUGUCUCAAAAAAAGAUCAAACAAAUAAACAUACUACAACGUAACAUAAAUCAAAACAAUGUGGUACUGGUAUAAUAAAGUUAGAAAUACAAACCUAUAUAUCUAUAUCAGUUGUAUAUGGGAUUAUUAUACCAUACCCAGUUGGCCAUAGGUAUAUGGGAUUAUUUCUGAGUUCAGAAGUAAUUCAGAGAGUUCAGAGUUCAGAAAUAAUCCCAUAUACCUAUGGUCAACUGAUUUUCUCCAAGGGAGCAAAGAGCAUUAAAUGGGGGAAAUAAUAGUUUCAUCAACAAAAUGGUGCUUGCACAACUUUUUUUUUUUUUUUUUUUUUUUUUUUUUUUUUUGAGACAGGGUCUUGCUCUGUCACUCAGGCUGGAGUGCAGUGGCAGCACCAUGGCUCACUGCAGCCUUGACUUCCGAAGCUUAAGUGAUCUUCCCACGACAGCCUCCCCAGUAGCUGGGACCACAGGUGGUGAAACUGCUACUCAAAGACAUGGAAUAAUUUGCCAGCCUCUCAGGUGGCGCCAGGAUUUCUACCUCAGACCUCAGAGAUCCUGCUUCCUACUGCACUCUCCUGAUAGCUUCCUGGGAAGCUGGCUGGCACGGCACUUCAGAUUCAGGGACUGCCUGAUACUGUGAAGUCACAAACCCAGUUAACUGCAGAGCCAGAGCCUUUUUUUCUUUUUUUCGAGACAGUCUCUCUGUCGCCCAGGCUGGAGUGCAGUGGUGCCAUCUCGUCUCACUGCAACCUCUGCCUCCCAGGUUCAAGCAAUUCUUGUGCCUCAGCCUCCUGAGUAGCUGGGAUUACAGGCGCCCACCACCUGUUCGGCUAGUUUUUGUAAUUUCAGUAGAGACGGGGUUUCACCAUGUUGGUCAGGCUGGUCUUGAACUCCUGACCUCGGGUGAUCCACCUGCCUUGGCCUCCUGAAGUGUUGGGUUUACAGGCGUGAGCCAUGGUGCCCAGCAGAACCAGAGCUUUUCUUGACUCCCUUGUUUGGUUCUGGGCUCUUAGCUAAGCCCCAGGUAAGCCUGCCAGUUUCAGGGAAGGACUCCUGGAGAUGGCUGUAUCUGAAACAGAAUUCACCAGACAGGGUUUUAGACUUGAUUUACAGAGAACCCUUUAGGUGGUGAAUUGUUUUCACCUGUUAUUUCUAGUGCCUGCUAUUCAGCCACAUCCUCAGCAACUUGCAGCACCCAAACUGCCACAAAACAAGCAAGUAACUGUGCCCUGCUUCCCUAGCUCUAAUCGGAUGCUCCCACACCACUUGGCUGUUCAGUUCCUAGGUCCCCUGAGACCCAGUCCCAUCAGGGCUGGACUUGGCAGGCAGGAAUCCCCUGGCAUUCACUCAAGCUGGCAACAAAGGAGAAGCUGGCAUGAAACUUAAAUUCCACCUUGGCUCUCAGCCCUAAAUCCACCGUGCCUGUCUGGGAGUGUCAUGGCAUGCGUCUUGGAGCCAGAGAACAAAAGAUGGCAAGUGCUGCAGGCCCAGACAGGCAAGGACCACAGCCCAUAUAUCCUGCACCACUGUGCUGCCUUCCAACAAUUUUGUCUUCAAGAACAGCACCUAGACACGCAUUAGGAGGGAAAAUUACACUUCCACCAGCACAGGCAUGUUCGCCCCUUCCCAGCUGGUAAUUGAGUUUCGUCGUCAGAGCUAUCACCUAGAUCAGGUAAGAAAAUGGGUGAAAAGUACGCCAAGUGCCAUUACUGGUCAAUUUUACUUAAAACAGUUUUCUCAAACCUGGAGAAAGCAAACCAUGCACCACCUUGGCUCCUCAACUAGGCUUCCUAAACUACCAAAGAGGCUCUUUAAGCACCUCAACCUUGGGGGAAAACAAAGAAAACAAAUCCUCUUCUGCUCUGAACCUGGCCUAGGAGCCCUGCUCCUCUGGACCAGCCCCUGACCUGCUUUUGGGUGGGCUACUACUCUCCUACCCAGUGUAAGGUAUGUAAGAUGAAGGAGCGUGGGAGAGAGAGAGGGCCCAGGCCUAGUUUCUGCUAUUCCAUCUGGACCAUUCUAUUAUAGGACUCAAAGACAGAUACAGAGAGAACUUUGGAAUAAGGCCUGGGAUAAAAUUUUGGUGUUAUCACUAAAGAGCUGCUACUUAACCUUCUUUUGUUCUGUUUCAUCACCUGUAAAAUUGGGUACACCAUCUACCUCCAUGGGAUGCUGGGUUAUGGGAUAAUAUACUUAACAUACCUUAAAAAAAAAAAAAAGCAAGAUUCCCUUUGGCAUGCAUAUAGAAUGGGGGAGAAUACAAAUUAGUUUGGCCCCAGCAACCUGAACCUUCUUCUUCUAGCAUAACUCUGGGAUCAUGACCUCAGAAAAACUUUGCAUAUACCUUUCCAUAGACAAAUGUAGUAAACACAACUCAAACCCAAGGCUGAAAUGCUAUUGGCCGUGACUAAUCUGAGGUAUGCCUUGGAGAACUGUCUCCACAGUUCAGGCCUUUCUAGACCAGUCCUAAAAAAUCUCAAGCACACAAAGUAUAUUCUUAAAUAUGGUUUAAUACUCUUCUCCAUUUCUGUACAUCACAACACCAAGAUUUUGCUGCUUAGUAUCUCUC
rnacentral:lncRNA from 1 species